UCUGCACAGAAGGCUGUUUAUGAAACCAGCAGCAGCCAGGAUAUGGGCUCACAAUUAUGCUGUUUUUGUAAGAGUGGCCUGGGGAAGAACAUACUAGGUACCAAGUUAUGUCCUCAUUUGCAUCUUUGUAAUCCCAAUGACUUCAAUGGACCUGCCUGGGUAUAACUGUUCUAUGCAUCUGGUUUUUGCAGCUAGAUACAGAACAUAAUUCUCCUCUCAACUUUGUGUAAAACUCCCGUAACUUCACUGAUGCCAAUCAAUUUAAAGUGGUAUAGAAACCAGGAGACUAAGGCCACAGUCCUACAACUUACUCCUUGUGGGUCGAAAUUGGCACCAGUGCAGAGCCCCAUUGACGUUUACCUACAGACGGAGGCUUGUAUGCAGGGAUCUCUUCACAUCUGAAGUGCAGCCACCUGAGAAUCAAGUGGAGCAACGCUUUUAACCACCGCAGAGCAGCGCUACACAAAAUGCUAGGGGGGAAGUGAAGAAUACCACAACCAACAGAAACUGCAGGCAGAAAUUACAUAGAAGAGGAAACUAGGGUAAAGAAGGCUACUCGUAUGAAAAGUAAAGAAUGACCAGGCAAUACUCUUUGAAAAUUGGAGACCAUUUGCAGCUGCUCUCUGCUGAGGAAAGUGAAUAAUAGGGUGCCCUCAAGGAAUUUCAAAGGUAUCACUCAACA